rnacentral:rRNA from 1 species
GAUGAACGCUGGCGGCGUGCCUAAUACAUGCAAGUCGAACGCAUAGCGAAAGGUGCUUGCACCUUUCAAGUGAGUGGCGAACGGGUGAGUAACACGUGGACAACCUGCCUCAAGGCUGGGGAUAACAUUUGGAAACAGAUGCUAAUACCGAAUAAAACUUAGUGUCGCAUGACACAAAGUUAAAAGGCGCUUCGGCGUCACCUAGAGAUGGAUCCGCGGUGCAUUAGUUAGUUGGUGGGGUAAAGGCCUACCAAGACAAUGAUGCAUAGCCGAGUUGAGAGGCUGAUCAGCCACAUUGGAACUGAGACACGGCCCAAACUCCUACGGGAGGCAGCAGUGGGGAAUAUUGCACAAUGGGCGAAAGCCUGAUGGAGCAACGCCGCGUGUAUGAUGAAGGCUUUCGGGUUGUAAAGCACUGUUGUAUGGGAAGAAGAGCUAGAAUAGAAAAUGAUUGUAGUUUGACGUUACCAUAAGAGAAAGGGACGGCUAAAUACGUG